rnacentral:rRNA from 1 species
UACGUAGGGGGCAAGCGUUGUCCGGAAUUAUUGGGCGUAAAGCGCGUGUAGGCGGCUCGGUAAGUCUGCUGUGAAAGUCCAAGGCUCAACCUUGGAAAGCCGGUGGAUACUGUCGAGCUCGAGUCCGGAAGAGGCGAGUGGAAUUCCUGGUGUAGCGGUGGAAUGCGCAGAUAUCAGGAGGAACACCGAUGGCGAAGGCAGCUCGCUGGGACGGUACUGACGCUGAGGCGCGAAAGCGUGGGGAGCGAACAGG